rnacentral:rRNA from 1 species
AGCGAACGCUGGCGGCAGGCCUAACACAUGCAAGUCGAACGAACUCUUCGGAGUUAGUGGCGGACGGGUGAGUAACACGUGGGAACGUGCCUUUAGGUUCGGAAUAACUCAGGGAAACCUGUGCUAAUACCGAAUGUGCCCUUCGGGGGAAAGAUUUAUCGCCUUUAGAGCGGCCCGCGUCUGAUUAGCUAGUUGGUGAGGUAAAGGCUCACCAAGGCGACGAUCAGUAGCUGGUCUGAGAGGAUGAUCAGCCACAUUGGGACUGAGACACGGCCCAAACUCCUACGGGAAGCAGCAGUGGGGAAUCUUGCGCAAUGGGCGAAAGCCUGACGCGGCCAUGCCGCGUGAAUGAUGAAGGUCUUAGGAUUGUAAAAUUCUUUCACCGGGGACGAUAAUGACGGUACCCGGAGAAGAAGCCCCGGCUAACUUCGUGCCAGCCGCCGCGGUAA